rnacentral:rRNA from 1 species
CAGGCUUAACACAUGCAAGUCGAGGGGCAUCAGGAAGAAAGCUUGCUUUCUUUGCUGGCGACCGGCGCACGGGUGAGUAACACGUAUCCAACCUGCCCUUUACUCGGGGAUAGCCUUUCGAAAGAAAGAUUAAUACCCGAUAGCAUAAUGAUUCCGCAUGGUUUCAUUAUUAAAGGAUUCCGGUAAAGGAUGGGGAUGCGUUCCAUUAGGUUGUUGGUGAGGUAACGGCCCACCAAGCCUUCGAUGGAUAGGGGUUCUGAGAGGAAGGUCCCCCACAUUGGAACUGAGACACGGUCCAAACUCCUACGGGAGGCAGCAGUGAGGAAUAUUGGUCAAUGGGCGCUAGCCUGAACCAGCCAAGUAGCGUGAAGGAUGAAGGCUCUAUGGGUCGUAAACUUCUUUUAUAUAAGAAUAAAGUGCAGUAUGUAUACUGUUUUGUAUGUAUUAUAUGAAUAAGGAUCGGCUAACUCCGUGCCAGCAGCCGCGGUAAUACGGAGGAUCCGAGCGUUAUCCGGAUUUAUUGGGUUUAAAGGGAGCGUAGGUGGACUGGUAAGUCAGUUGUGAAAGUUUGCGGCUCAACCGUAAAAUUGCAGUUGAUACUGUCAGUCUUGAGUACAGUAGAGGUGGGCGGAAUUCGUGGUGUAGCGGUGAAAUGCUUAGAUAUCACGAAGAACUCCGAUUGCGAAGGCAGCUCACUGGACUGCAACUGACACUGAUGCUCGAAAGUGUGGGUAUCAAACAGGAUUAGAUACCCUGGUAGUCCACACAGUAAACGAUGAAUACUCGCUGUUUGCGAUAUACAGUAAGCGGCCAAGCGAAAGCAUUAAGUGUUCCACCUGGGGAGUACGCCGGCAACGGUGAAACUCAAAGGAAUUGACGGGGGCCCGCACAAGCGGAGGAACAUGUGGUUUAAUUCGAUGAUACGCGAGGAACCUUACCCGGGCUUAAAUUGCAGUGGAAUGAUGUGGAAACAUGUCAGUGAGCAAUCACCGCUGUGAAGGUGCUGCAUGGUUGUCGUCAGCUCGUGCCGUGAGGUGUCGGCUUAAGUGCCAUAACGAGCGCAACCCUUAUCUUUAGUUACUAACAGGUUAUGCUGAGGACUCUAGAGAGACUGCCGUCGUAAGAUGUGAGGAAGGUGGGGAUGACGUCAAAUCAGCACGGCCCUUACGUCCGGGGCUACACACGUGUUACAAUGGGGGGUACAGAAGGCAGCUAGCGGGUGACCGUAUGCUAAUCCCAAAAUCCUCUCUCAGUUCGGAUCGAAGUCUGCAACCCGACUUCGUGAAGCUGGAUUCGCUAGUAAUCGCGCAUCAGCCACGGCGCGGUGAAUACGUUCCCGGGCCUUGUACACACCGCCCGUCAAGCCAUGGGAGCCGGGGGUACCUGAAGUACGUAACCGCAAGGAUCGUCCUAGGGUAAAACUGGUGACUGGGGC